CCUACGGGAGGCAGCAGUGAGGAAUAUUGGUCAAUGGGCGUAAGACUGAACCAGCCAAGUAGCGUGCAGGAUGACGGCCCUACGGGUUGUAAACUGCUUUUAUACGGGAAUAAAGUGCCUCACGUGUAGUGUUUUGUAUGUACCGCAUGAAUAAGGACCGGCUAAUUCCGUGCCAGCAGCCGCGGUAAUACGGAAGGUCCGGGCGUUAUCCGGAUUUAUUGGGUUUAAAGGGAGCGUAGGCCGCAUGUCAAGCGUGCUGUGAAAUGGCCGGGCUCAACCCGGGCCCUGCAGCGCGAACUGGCUUGCUUGAGUGCGCGGAAAGCAUGCGGAAUGCGUCGUGUAGCGGUGAAAUGCUUAGAUAUGACGAAGAACCCCGAUUGCGAAGGCAGCUUGCGGCAGCGCAACUGACGCUGAUGCUCGAAGGCGCGGGUAUCGAACAGGAUUAGAUACCCCAGUAGUC
rnacentral:rRNA from 1 species